rnacentral:lncRNA from 10 species
UGGAGUUCGAGGGAAGCUGUCCUCAUGAAGCUUCCUCAGGGAAGUGUGCAGAGAACUGGAGUGGACCUUCCCCUAGGAAGCUGCCCAAAACGAGAGUGCUGGAAAGCUGGCCGCAGUGAGGCACUUCAGAUCCCAAGGGUAUGCUGGGGAAGCUGCCACAGGUGGGAGCACUUGCUGCUGGACCCUAGGCACUGUUGAAACAACUGCACCAUCUGCAGGAGCCCAGCAAGG